AGUUCCUGCCCUGAGUUUCCUCAGUAAUGGAGUGUGGCCUGGCAGUGUCAAAUGAAGUCAGCACUUUCCAAGUUGCCUUUGGUUAGAGUGUUUGUCAUAGCAACAGAUGAAAACAGAAUUCAGUAAAAUAGAACAGUUGACCAAAUCUGUGUAAGGGGAUCAGUUCCGUCAUGUGAGGAAUACUGUCUUUCCACUUCCUUUCUAUCCACCUCAUCUACUGUAAGAAACAAUUGGCUACUCUUAUGGCUAUUAACAAACCUGAUGGAUAAAAGUCCUUCUCUGCUUCCCUCUCCACCAGAAUGCUUACAUGGGUGGAAAAAGGUUCUGAGAAGUUUAGGCAAAUGAUGAAGAAACUAAGGAUCGUAGAUAUUAGAGGCUUUCCAAAGGUCAGCAUCACUAUCAAGAAUGGAUAUAACGGGACAGAACUCAGGCAUCAAUAUCCAAGUGAGGAAAUCAUUGAAAGUCUAGGGCUAUGGGAUGAGAGAAGGCCAUUGCAUUUUACAACAUACCAUCCAAUCCAAGUCUGCGACAUGUGGUUUUGAACCACUCUGAGUCUGAAUUUCCAGCAAAAUUAAGAAGGCAAUAGAAGAAGUGAUCAGAAGAUGUAAUUAUGGAAGCAACCAUAAAAUGGAAGAUGCAUCAUGGGAAAUACAAAGAACUGACUGCUGGUCAUGGAAAUUGAAAUUGUAGACUUCCUCAGAUUUCCUCCAUUACUUCUUGAUGGCCAAAAACAUGAAGAAAGAAAUCUGAACUCUCUGUGCCAGACUCUGUGUUAGCUCUUGAGAUAUAUUAUCUUCUAAUAUCUUAAGAAGACAUAAAUCAAGAAUGUUAACACAAACCUGCAAAGAUCCAGUACUAACACUGAACACUAGCUGGGUCUCACACACCUGAAUAAAUGCUUCUUCUUCAUUUUUAAUAAG